rnacentral:lncRNA from 1 species
GAGUAAUGCCCUUAUGCGUAGGGCUGCCAGAUACAGUGGGCGGUUUUUUCACUGUGCAACACUUGGGAUGCAAUCUUACGUAGACUGUGGUGUGAAUUGUGCUCUCUCGCGUUGUAUACCCUUAUAGCACUGUUCUUGUGGCACUACUUUUGUGCUCCUGCCUCUACCCUAAUCUUGAGUGUAAGAGUAAUUUUUCCUUUAAUAAGCCCUCUCCACCCUGUUUUUCUGCUUUUUAUUUUCUUUCACUUUUUCAGAUGAAGUCACACUGUUGCUAAACCAUGCAUAGGUUUUCUAUUGUUUGAAUUAUAUGUGGUCAGAAUUUCAGAAACUGGCUUCUUUUUCUUUACCUCUUAUAUUGACCAUUCCUCAAGAAUUUUGUAUCCAAGGCCCAAAAGUUUGUUACCCAAGAUGAUGAAUGCUGACAUGGAUGCAGUUGAUGCUGAAAAUCAAGUGGAACUGGAGGAAAAAACAAGACUUAUUAAUCAAGUGUUGGAACUCCAACACACACUUGAAGAUCUCUCUGCAAGAGUAGAUGCAGUUAAGGAAGAAAAUCUGAAGCUAAAAUCAGAAAACCAAGUUCUUGGACAAUAUAUAGAAAAUCUCAUGUCAGCUUCUAGUGUUUUUCAAACAACUGACACAAAAAGCAAAAGAAAGUAAGGGAUUGACACCCUUCUGUUUU